rnacentral:rRNA from 1 species
GACGAGCGCUGGCGGCGUGCUUAACACAUGCAAGUCGAACGGAAAGGCCCUGCUUUUGUGGGGUGCUCGAUUGGCGAACGGGUGAGUAACACGUGAGUAACCUGCCCUUGACUUUGGGAUAACUUCAGGAAACUGGGGCUAAUACCGGAUAGGAGCUCCUGCUGCAUGGUGGGGGUUGGAAAGUUUCGGCGGUUGGGGAUGGACUCGCGGCUUAUCAGCUUGUUGGUGGGGUAGUGGCUUACCAAGGCUUUGACGGGUAGCCGGCCUGGGAGGGUGACCGGCCACAUUGGGACUGAGAUACGGCCCAGAAUCCUACGGGAGGCAGCAGUGGGGAAUAUUGCACAAUGGGCGGAAGCCUGAUGCAGCAACGCCGCGUGCGGGAUGACGGCCUUCGGGUUGUAAACCGCUUUCGCCUGUGACGAAGCGUGAGUGACGGUAAUGGGUAAAGAAGCACCGGCUAACUACGUG